CAUUUUCAAAAGAGUAAGUUAUUUAAUUCAUAAGCUCUAAUUUGCUGGUUUGUUUUGAUUGUUUGUUUUAUGUGCAUGUUUCUUAAAAUACUCCAUAAAAUGUUUAAGUUUCUUCUACAUGUAUAUUUGGUUGUCAUUUUUAUGCUUGAGUUACAUGUACCUGUAUCUUUCCCAUUUAUGACAGAAUGACAAUGUGCUCGAGGUGAUACUGAGACCCACUUCCUGUGAAAAAACAACACAGCGUGUCCAUCGGGAAGAAUGUGAAAUCCACAAUAAGCCACCUCAGGUUUUCUGUAUUCAUUGUAAUGGAGCCAUGAAACCAUGUUUACUUCUUAAACAAAAGGAAUUGAUUGAAAAAACGAGGAAGGAAUGUCUGCAGCAUUUGGCUGGGGGAACACAUCUGUUGUUCCAAAUAGGAGGAAAUGAUGAACAGCAAAUGAACAAUGAACUAACUGGAUGUCUUGGAUGCAUCUGAGAUGCUUAACAUCCGUAUGCUUCUGAGUACUAAAAGUAAACACUUUAGCCAAAGUUUAUGUGCUGAAAUGUCGAAUGUAAAAAAGGCAGCCAGACGUCUGCCUGAAUAUAAGAAUAACCAUAACAACUCAUGACUUGAGUAACA
ensembl:lncRNA